CUGAAAUCCUAUUGGCCAAAAAGCUAAGCAAUGAGUCAAGAUACAUAACAAUUUGAAUAGGCUGUAAAGCAAUAAAUAAACUGUGAAUUCCUGGCUGAUUCUAUUAACAGUGACAAAUUGAAGCCUCAUUAAGAAGACGGUUUAACAUCAUCAUAUUAGAGGCUACUCUGCCCUUCUCAUUAUUAAGAUCCAAGGAUGAGGACCAAAAGGUUCUGCAGGCUGCUUCUGGGACUCCAUCAUUUCAAGAUUGUCCUAAAGCUUAAAACAGACUCUAAAUCUUCCUAAGCCACAAGGAUAUGAACAGACACUUCUCAAAAGAAGACAUUUAUGCAGCCAAAAGACACAUGAAAAAAUGCUCAUCAUCACUGGCCAUCAGAGAAAUGC
rnacentral:lncRNA from 1 species